AGAAUUUCCCUCCAUUUCUAAGCUCCCUCGUCGAUGUUGCUGGGUGCCCUGUUGUCUGCCACAGGAGUGCACUGAGGAUGCCAGGAUGAUAAGGAGAUCAAGGGGAGGUGAGACAUGAAGAUGCUGGAGACCAACUCCUGUUAAACCGCCCUUCCUCAGAGCAUCUGCCUAGACAAGAUGCCCAAAGCAGUUCUCUUCCCAUGUAGGAAAUGGAAGCCCUAAAAGUAUAGUCUAUGGCUGGACCCUAAGCAACCCAGAGAUAGUCUCACACCUCUGCCAGCCUAGGCUAAUGAGUCAGAAACCAUCAUGUAAUUCAGUGAUGCACAGAGUAUUCAAACAGCAGAGCUUAAAGGAACUCUAAAUAUCUAGCCCUCUCGCUUUAAAGAAAAGGAAACUGAGGCCCAGAGAUAGAAAGCCAAUUUCUUUGAUUUUCUCUGGUCAUCGCAGCUAUUUCUGUCUUUGUUAUCUUUGUGCAUUUGCUGGAUUUUCCCCUAAUAGUCCCCUCCAAUUGCAGCCCUCAUGGCUUCUUCAGCUGACUACUCGUCAUCUUCCCAUAGUUUCUUCCUCCAGCAGCACCUUCACUUUUUCUGCUGGGAUCUCCUUGAAGAAGUAUAUUUGGACAGGAUCCUCUCUAAAAUCCUAGACAGGUGUCACUUUGCUACUGGCAAGCACAGCUGAAGACUUAGAGAUUUCUCCUUGCUCUGGGAAUGCAAGGCUUUGGGCACCUGAAAGUCAUCAAAGUACCUGUUUCUUUUCCCACUCCAGUCCCAAGUAAGGUGAAUAAGCUUACUGCUAAUUAAUGGAGAACUGUGUCUCACCAAUCCUUUGGCUGGAGAAGCCCAAUAUGAAAUUAACUAGUUCUGAAAACCCACCGAAGAAUUGAUGCUUUUGAACUGUGGUGUUGGAAAAGACUCUUGAGAGUCCCUUGGACUGCAAGGAGAUCCAACCAGUCCAUCCUAAAGGAAAUCAGUCCUGGGUGUUCAUUGGAAGGACUGAUGCUGAAGCUGAAACUCCAAUACUUUGGCCACCUGAUGCGAAGAGCUGACUCAUUUGAAAAGACCCUGAUGUUGGGAAAGAUUGAAGGCAGGAGGAAAAGGGGAUGACAGAGGAUGAGAUGGUUGGAUGGCAUCACCGACUCAAUGGACAUGGGUUUGGGUAAACUCCAGGAACUGGUGAUGGACAGGGAGGCCUGGCGAGUUGCAAAGAGUUGGACACGACUGAGCGACUGAACUGAACUGAACUUAAAACCCACCAACACCAAGAAAAGAUUCCCUAGAGGGAUUUGCAAUUUUUUGUUUGAAUUUCCUAACUUC
rnacentral:lncRNA from 1 species